AGAUUGAACGCUGGCGGCAUGCCUAACACAUGCAAGUCGAACGGGAGUAGCAAUACUCUAGUGGCGGACGGGUGAGGAAUACGUAGGAAUUUGCCCUUAAGUGGGGGAUAACCCGGGGAAACCCGGAUUAAUACCGCAUGACCUCGAAAGAGCAAAGGUGGGGGAUCGCAAGACCUCACGCUUUUGGAGAAGCCUACGUCGGAUUAGCUAGUUGGUGAGGUAAUGGCUACACCAAGGCGACGACUCCGUAACUGGUCUGAGAGGAUGAUCAGUCACACCGGAACUGAGACACGGUCCGGACUCCGUACGGGAGGCAGCGAGGUAGGGGAAUAGUUGGAACAAGUGGGCGACAAGCCUAGAUCCCAGACAAGUCGCCGCGUGUGUAGAGUAGGCCGUUUGGUUAG
rnacentral:rRNA from 1 species